GCAAGUCGAGGGGUAACAGGGAGUGCUUGCACUCCGCUGACGACCGGCGCACGGGUGCGUAACGCGUAUACAAUCUACCUUUUGCUGAGGGAUAGCCCAGAGAAAUUUGGAUUAAUACCUCAUAGUAUGCAGAGUUUUCAUGAACAUUGCAUUAAAGGUCACGGCAGAAGAUGAGUAUGCGUCCUAUUAGUUAGUUGGUGUGGUAACGGCACACCAAGACCACGAUAGGUAGGGGCCCUGAGAGGGGGAUC
rnacentral:rRNA from 1 species